rnacentral:lncRNA from 1 species
UUUUUUUUUUUCUCAUAGUGAAUUAUUUGAUUAUUGCCAGUUAAAUUCAUGCAUAUGUUAUUUAUUUGUUGUUGGUUUGUUAUAAAUUGGAAACCUUAAUGUAGUAUACAAUUUUUUUCACAUUGUCGUAUGUCUUGAAAUUAUUAUAAAUGUAAAUGGAUAGUACAUUAUGCAAAAAAUGAAAUCGUUGCAAUUUAGGAUUUUCAGUAAAAUGUUCUUUUUCCCUUCUUAUAUUUCCUUGAUUUGAUCUCCAAUGAAUGAUACUUCCUUGACAGCUAAUUAUUUGUCGAUUGCAAAUACGGGUACAGGCCCUUCUCCCCCACUAAUUUACCCCAAACAAACAAUGAAAUAUUUGUCGGUUUGUUUAUUUGUUGGUUUGUUUUAAGUUGUAAAUCUUAAAGCAAUUCAUGUUCCCAAGUUGUAAAUCUUAAAGUAAUUAAUGAUCCCUUGGCUGAUCAUAAGUUGGUGGUUUCUUUUUAAGUAACAGAUAACAAAUUUUAGUUUAUAUUUACAUAUAAAUUUUGAUGGUUUGCAUGCUUAAGUUAUUUUGCAGAACUUCCUGUAACUGGUUUACAUAGAAAUUUUGAUGGUCUGCAUGCUUAAGUUAUUUUGCAGAACUUCCUAUAACUGGUUGGGUUGAGUUGCUUGUUUGGUUUUAAAAAUUUUAUGUUGAAAUUAACACCCAAUAUGUUGGGUUACUGGUGUUUAUAUAUGACAAUAUAAUAAUGCAUUCAUGUUGUGCUGACCCAAUGGUGGGUUUGAUUUGAAAGAAAGACUUUGAAGUGCAGUUUUACAUGUCGACAUGUAAAUAUCGAUUGUUUUAUGGAAUGGCCGUUUUUGUUGAAUAUUAAUUUGUCUUUUGGUGACUAUGCUCACUCCUUCUCUCUAGAAGAUUCAUAAGUGGCGGUUUAAUUGAACCGAUGAGGUGCUUGGUGAAAAGAGGUGUACAAUGUGAAGGGGUGCGUGGUGAAAAGAGGUGUACAAUGUGAUGGGUCAUGUGGCCCUGCAUAGACCAUAUGUAUAGGCGGUUAAUUGAGUCUCUAAAUAGUAAGAUAUUAUUGUGAUGUAGUGUGUGUUGAGAUAAAA